rnacentral:tRNA from 1 species
GAGGGUAUAGCUCAAGCGGCAGAGGGCGUGCUUAGCAUGCAUGAGGUCCUGGGUGCAACUCCCAGCACCUCCU